GCCCCGAACCGAAUCCACGAACAAGUCCCAGCCGCCCGUUCCGCUCGCUCUCGCCUUCGCCACAUCCGUUCUUCUCCUGUUCUACCGUUCGCUGCCUCUCCUCGUCGGCUCCCGGUCUCUUCCAAACCCUACCAUCUCUGCAGCGGUCCCUUCUCCGCUCCUCGAGUUGGUCGCGGUGGAGUCGUCCGCGUCCCUCGAUUGGGACUGCGGAUCCAGCUAGCGACCUCCGUAACCGAGAUCCUCUGUGUCCUCGCGUCUUGGAUGGUUCAUGCUGGGGGUUCGGUUGGCGUCCCGUGGCGGAAUCCAUGUCUAGCUCCGCAUAUGACGUGAAUCGCGCUGCGCCUUAUCGGAUUGGGUCCGGCGCGUGUGAUGUCGGCGCCGCAGGAUUUUCUCGGGUUGGUUCUUCCGCAGGUUUGUUUCGGAGCUCGGUUCGUCUGCCCUUGGAGGAUAGGGUAUGCUGGCCGAGGCCGAUGUCGGCCUAGGUGGAGUAAUCGGCGGACCAAAAGAUUGUAUGUUGGGGUCGUUUCGGAUCGAACAAGGAGGUGGAGAUGCGGCGCGUCCAUACCCUCGGCCGGAAACAACAACCCUAGCUUGAGCUCCUCUAAGAGAACCGCCGAAGCUCAGAAAAUAUUGGUUUCAGGGCGUCUGGCAGAGGAGCUGCCAAAUGAAGAUUCGGAAUCCCAGACGAUGCGGUUGUCGUCCAGCUUCACAAACUACCAAGAAGACCCUUUGGUGGACAAGUUAAGGACGCAACUGGGGGUGAUUCACCCGAUCCCUUCUCCGCCGAUCAAUAGGAACAUCGUUGGCUUCUUCGUGUUCUUUUUCUUUGUCGGGGUUGCUUUCGACAAGGUUUGGACCACGAGGAAGAGGAACAAGUCAGAUCGCAAUGUUAAGAAUGACACAUGGCCUCAGGUGCCGAGUAGCUUCUCUAUAUUCUUUGAGAAGGAUCUUCAGAGGAAAGAGUCGGUGGAAUGGGUGAACAUGGUUUUGGGUAAGUUAUGGAAAGUGUAUAGGUCUGGGAUUGAGAACUGGAUUAUUGGAUUGCUACAGCCAGUAAUAGAUAACCUUAAGAAACCUAGUUAUGUGCAAAGAGUUGAAAUUAAGCAGUUCUCACUAGGUGAUGAACCACUAUCAGUCAGGAACGUCGAGAGGAGAACCUCCCGCUGUGUUAACGACUUGCAGUAUCAGAUUGGACUUCGUUAUACAGGUGGCGCAAGGAUGUUGUUAUCGUUGUCUUUAAAGUUUGGGAUUGUCCCAAUUGUUGUACCCGUUGGCAUUCGUGAUUUUGAUAUUGAUGGAGAGCUUUGGGUUAAGUUACGGUUAAUACCAACUGAACCUUGGAUAGGAGCCGUAUCAUGGGCUUUUGUUUCCCUACCAAAGAUUAAGUUUGAGCUCGCCCCAUUUCGUUUAUUUAAUCUUAUGGCAAUUCCUGUUCUUUCGCUGUUCCUUACAAAACUUCUAACUGAAGAUCUGCCUCGUCUCUUUGUGCGUCCAAAAAAGAUUGUUCUUGAUUUCCAGAAGGGGAAAGCACUUGGUCCUGUUCCAGAUUAUUUUAAAACUGAAGACAUUCAGGAAGGAAAUAAAGAUUUUGUUGGGGAGUUAUCAGUGACCUUAGUCGAUGCCCGUAAACUUACUUAUGUUAUAUUUGGAAAGACAGAUCCAUAUGUUGUUUUAAGCCUUGGUGAUCAAGCAAUUCGAAGUAAGAAAAAUAGCCAGACAACAGUUAUUGGUCCUCCUGGAGAGCCAAUCUGGAAUCAGGAUUUUCAUCUUCUUGUUGCAAAUCCUAGAAAGCAGAAAUUGUAUAUCCAAGUAAAGGACUCUUUUGGUUUCGCAGAUAUUACCAUUGGCACAGGAGAGGUUGAGCUCGGUUUGCUUCAAGAUACAGUACCGACAGACAAAAUUGUAGCUUUGCAAGGUGGGUGGAGUUUGUUUGGGAAGCAAUUGUCUGGAGAAUUGUUGCUCCGCCUCACGUAUAAAGCUUAUGUUGAAGAUGAAGAAGAUGGGACAGAAAAGGAGCUUGUAGAUAGUGAUGCAUCUGAUGAUGAAAGCACAGAAUAUGAACAGGCAGAUGAAUCAUAUGAACAGAGUUUUAGUGAUUACCCCAUUGGAGGAGAAAGGGAGUCCUUUAUGGACGUCCUAGCAGCUUUGCUUGUCAGUGAGGAAUUUCUGGGUAUAGUGUCAUCUGAGACAGGAAGUUCCAAAGUUUCUGAGCAAUCUGCUUAUCCAGAAUCUUCAGUAUCAAAAACAUUUGGUCGUGAUGCAGAAAUAUCCAUUUUUGAUGCUGAUAGUGCUUCAGGUGGUUCCAGAGGUACUCCUGCUUCCUUUCCUGAUUUUAGUUGGUUUCAUAAAUUUUCAUUAAUCCAACUAGAAGUUCUGCUUUUUGUAGAUUCGCCUCUUGUUUGGCUUGCUAUCAUAACGAGUAUAGCUGUGCUGAUUGCCAUUAACGUGGGCAGUUCAGGCUUCUUCAACCCUUGAUAUAAAUGAGCAAAUUCAAGAGCUUGACUAGAAUUCUGCCUAAAUCUCUUUGGAUCAAGAAUUGCAUUUCACAAAGUUUCUGAUGCUUCUUCCAAAGAGCCAGAAAUAUGAUUAAUUCAGGUGAAGGAAAUGCCCUCAUCCUUCGCUUGUUUGAUCAAGAUGAUCAGCAGGGGAACUCCAAUAUGUAGCAGAGUGCAAACUGAGCCGCUGAUCCAAUAUAUGUAGCAGGGCAAGUGGGCGAGAAUGCCGAAGAGGCUCCAUAGCCGUUUGUUUGAGUAUCUUCUUGUUGCAAGGCUCGAACGGAAGAUCGAUCGGUGCCAUUAAGUCGAGUUUGCACACGCGGAGGCAGUUGGAAGCGCGACCGGCGCACAAGCCGGGGGGGUCGAGGAGAACCCGGAAACGGCGUGUCGGCCGUCCAAUGCCUGAUGGACGGGUGCCAGCGAUGACCGACGGUUCGGUUGGACCGCCCCCUUGACCCGGUGCGGACGGUUCCAAGCGCCUCGCAUCGGGGCGCGAGCCGGAGGACACGCGUCGAUCAACCCGCUCGGAGCUCGCACGUGCGUCAUAAUCCGGCCCUCCCAUCGGCGUUCUUUAGGGUCCGCCCCACGGGGGCACGCUUCCAUGUUCCUUCCGAAACCCUCACAACCCCCUCUCUCUCUCUCUCUCUCUCUCUCUCUCUCUCUCUCACAUCAGGUCUCUCUUCUUUCAUCCCUGCGUCUUCUUCUGUUUCCCAUCUCAGUGCUGCAUUCUUUCUUCCUUUCUUCUCCAAAGCGUGAUGUUGUCUCAGUUGCAACCUACUCUAUUAUGCUAUCUUGUGGCCACCUAGUUUCCUGGUACAAAAACCAACCUUUGCUUUAAGAAUGACAUGGUCUCAGUUGUGCCCACAGAGAGAGAGAGAGAGAGAGAGAGAGAGAGAUGUGUUUGGUGUUUUCUUUGCUCGAUCCACUUUGUUUAGGUUAUCUUUCUGGCGGUCACUUGGUUUCUUGGUACAAUAAACCAAACCUAGCUUUUUCCCUUUGACCUUUGCAACGAUCCCGUAUUCCCAUGAUCCCAUCUCCUUGACUGUGUCUGCCAUCCUAUGAUACGAUCUCUUUUUUUUCCACUGUAGUUACAUCAGAUCUCAUUAGACCUUCCUGAUGGAAAUUUCCACUUCAUUUGCUUCAAUCUUUCUGCGAAAUCUGUGUCCUCCUUUUCUAAUGUUUUUAGCUCCAGGAUGCCUUCAAGAGCUGCUUGCAGGAGAUGCCAACAAGUUCAUGAUCAUGUUCUUCCACGGCUUUCUUGAACUGUGAGCUGGUGUUGCUUCCACCCUUUCCUCGUUGCUCCUCGAGAGAUCACUGUGCGACGAGGAAGACACAUCCAGCGCAAAGUUCAAGAAAGAUGUGGGAAAACAUGACAGAUCUUUUAGACAGUUCCAUUCUUCACAACAUCAGGCAGCAGACCGAAACAAUCAAAGAGAAGACUCUGGUGAUUGCUGUCUCUUUGCAUUAUUCUUCUGCAAUGUUGGAACUGGUUGGCUUUGGGCCACUCUGAUAGCUGCAAUCACUGAAUCAAAGGAGAUGUCAGAAAGUGCCAAGUACAUGUAGUUUCAAUGUGGGGAAAAGAAGAAAGUGAUCUGGACUUUACAACGCAUGAUUACACUGUGUGUCAUAUGACUCCAAAGAAGAUGGCUCAAGUGACUAGAAAUCGGUGGGUAUUCAUUCACUUUGUCGCAUAAACCGACCCAGAACUGGCUAUUAAGCAACGAUAUGUUCGUACACAAGGCCGGCAGAUGGUAUUUGAUUCCAGCCAUUCGCGAACGAGUCAUGAAAGCUUUUCUCUGUGGAAGAUGUGAGGAAAAAAGAUAUGUUUGAUGGAUCCUUUUGCAGUGUUUUCAGUGCUUCUUUACCGCCAGUGGGCUGCUGCAGCACGCUGCAAUGCAAGCACAUGCAAACUGUGGCCUUAGAGGUUUAAAGCUUUAUGUUACGCAACAUGAAUUGAGAUCACUGGCAUCCUUUACACAGUGAUAACAACUCAACUCAGUAGCUGUCUCAAUUAGAGCUGGUAAUCAAUCAGCCAAUUGGACCUGCCAAGGGAUGCUGGAGUUCAGGCGUUCGGUCAAUUCUUUGGAAUGGCUGUUUACACCAAUGCAUCAGAGAAGCCAGAAGAUGAAUUCCAUGGCCUUGUGAUGGUGUUGAUGAUCUAAUCUUCUGACAGCCCAAACUGUUUCAUUGAACUAUUCUGAUUACGGUUUCCGAAUGAUUCAGUGCUGUCUUAUCAAAUCUUCCAUCUUUGUACUCA